UACGAAGGGGGCGAGCGUUUGUUCGGAUUCAUUGGGCGUAAAGGGUGCGUAGGCGGCGCGGUAAGUCGGGUGUGAAAUCUCGGGGGCUUAACUCCGAAACUGCAUUCGAUACUGCCGUGCUUGAGGACUGGAGAGGAGACUGGAAUUUACGGUGUAGCGGUGAAAUGCGUAGAUAUCGUAAGGAAGACCGUGGCGAAGGCGGGUCUCUGGACAGUUCCUGACGUGAGGCACGAAGGCCAGGGGAGCAAACGGGG
rnacentral:rRNA from 1 species